AUUGAACGUUGGCGGCAGGCCUAAUACAUGCAAGUCGAACGGCAGCACAGAGAGCUUGCUCUUGGGUGGCGAGUGGCGGACGGGUGAGUAACGCGUAGGAAUCUACCCAGUAGCGGGGGAUAGCCCGGGGAAACCCGGAUUAAUACCGCAUACGCCCCACGGGGGAAAGGCCGGGAUCUUCGGACCGGUCACUAUUGGAGGAGCCUGCGUUGGAUUAGCUUGUUGGUGGGGUAAAGGCCUACCAAGGCUGCGAUCCAUAGCUGGUCUGAGAGGACGAUCAGCCACACUGGAACUGAGACACGGUCCAGACUCCUACGGGAGGCAGCAGUAGGGAAUAUUGUGCAAUGGGCGAAAGCCUGACACAGCCAUGCCGCGUGUGUGAAGAAGGCCUUAGGGUUGUAAAGCACUUUCAGUAGGGAGGAAUUAGUAGGUUAAUAACCUUAUGAAUGACGUUACCUACAGAAGAAGUACCGGCUAACUCCGUGCCAGCAGCCGCGGUAAAGUCAGU
rnacentral:rRNA from 1 species